AAGUCGUAACAAGGUUUCCGUAGGUGAACCUUGCGGAAGGAUCCAUUAAAAGGGAAUAUUCCUUUUUUUCUUUUGGCCCUAAAAAACCCAAAGAAAAAAAACGAAUAAUCCCAACCCCUUGUCCUAUACCAAAACCCAAAUUGUUGGACUUCCGGCGAAGGUCCAAGAAUACUUUGAAACGCGUAAAGAUUGUCGACGUCCUUUUUUUGUCAUCCGUUUUUGAAUAUGAUCCUCGCCUAGAAGAUGAUAAAUUUAAACUCUUUUGUUUUACCAAUAAAACUGUCUAGAGUAUACAAAAUGAAAUUUUAAACCCAGUAUUGACUUCAUAAACCAAUUCUGAAUUGAAAUUAUUAUAAAUUAUUAAAUAUAAACACAA
rnacentral:misc_RNA from 1 species